AAUAAACACCUUAACAUCAAACGGCUAUAACUAUUUUACCCUAACUCCAAAUCUUCUAAUUUUUACACACAAAUUGUAUCCAAAAUCCUAAACUUAAAAACCAUAGCUUGUAAUCUCUGAAUGCUCUCUUUGAAGUCACCGAAACCCUUAUUAAGGUGGCUGACAGCCUCCUCAAAGCCCAUUGGGCAUGGUAUUCGAUCAAUAGAGA
rnacentral:lncRNA from 1 species